GACGAACGCUGGCGGCGUGCUUAACACAUGCAAGUCGAACGGAAAGGCCCUGCUUUUGUGGGGUGCUCGAGUGGCGAACGGGUGAGUAACAUGUGAGUAACCUUCCCUUUACUUUGGGAUAACUUCAGGAAACUGGGGCUAAUACCGGCUAGGAGCUCCUGCUGCAUGGUGGGGGUUGGAAAGUUUCGGCGGUUGGGGAUGGACUCGCGGCUUAUCAGCUUGUUGGUGGGGUAGUGGCUUACCAAGGCUUUGACGGGUAGCCGGCCUGAGAGGGUGACCGGCCACAUUGGGACUGAGAGACGGCCCAGACUCCUACGGGAGGCAGCAGUGGGGAAUAUUGCACAAUGGGCGGAAGCCUGAUGCAGAAACGCCGCGUGCGGGAUGACGGCCUUCGGGUUGUAAACCGCUUUCGCCUGUGACGAAGCGUGAGUGACGGUAAUGGGUAAAGAAGCACCGGCUAACUACGUG
rnacentral:rRNA from 1 species